UCAGAGGGUUAAGCGAUCGCACUGGUUCGCCAGUGAGGAAAGUCCGGGCUCCACGGGAAUACGGCGCUGGAUAACAUCCAGCCAAGGUGACUUGAGGGAAAGUGCCACAGAAAGGAAACCGCCCAGCAUGCUGGGUAAGGGUGAAAGGGUGCGGUAAGAGCGCACCGCGUUUUUGGUAACAAGAACGGCAUGGUAAACCCCGCCGGGAGCAAGACCAAAUAGGAAUGGCGCAUGAUCUAUUCUCGGAUCGUCGUUCGGGUAGGUUGCUGGAGCGGCGUGGUAACGCGUCGCCAAGAUGAAUGAUCGCUGGCCUAAGUUUUGCUUAGGUUACAGAACCCGGCUUAUCGACCCUCUGAUCAC
rnacentral:RNase_P_RNA from 1 species